UGCGCAGGCGGGCUAUUAAGUCAGUGGUGAAAUCUCUCGGCUCAACCGAGAAACUGCCAUUGAAACUGAUAGUCUUGAGUAUGGUUGUGGUAGGCGGAAUAUAGCAUGUAGCGGUGAAAUGCUUAGAUAUGCUAUAGAACACCGAUCGCGAAGGCAGCUUACCAAGCCAUUACUGACGCUCAUGCACGAAAGCGUGGGGAGCAAACAGGAUUAGAUACCCUGGUAGUCC
rnacentral:rRNA from 1 species